GCCGUGUGCGCACCCCGCGCCCCAGGCUGCCGGCGGGCCCGCGGCCCCCUUACCUGCGGGCGCGGCCCCUCGGCGCGGCGGGUCCCCGCUCCGCCCUGGCGCCCGCCGCUCUCCUCGGCGGCGUGGGCAGCCGCCCGUCCCGCAGCCCGGCGAGCAGGAGGGCUCAGCGCCCGGCUGCCCUGCGGCCGCGCUGCACCGCGGGGAGCGCCGCAGCCCCGAGCGGGGCCGCUUCCAGCCGGCGCGGCGGUAACUCGGCUGCGGCGGCCGCGGAGGGGGGAGGAAGAGCGAUCGCGCCUCAAAACGCGAAGGGAACAGAACAAACUGCCGAUCCAAAUCCGGAAGGGAGAAGCAGCCAGGCUUUUCCGACGAAAUCCGUUUUAUUGGAAAACACCCGCCGAAAUCGACCCGCCGGCUCUACUUAGAUCUGCUGUCCUUUUAUAAACUGUCGCUCCGGCUCCGGCCCCGGCCCCGGCCCCAGACGUGACGCCGAAAUCGUUUUAGCUGCAGCGGCUUUCGCUUGGCUUCGCCCGCUCGUAAAUUUACCGCAGCCGGAGCAGGAUUAGCCAUUUUUGCCGGCAACACGGCGCUCUAGCUGCUCAAAGACGGGACCGGUGCACGGGGAAGCGGCGGGCGGGGGGGAGGAGAGGACAAGAGCAGGCUGCGGCGAGCGGCGGAAUGGCCAGACGGAUGCAAACAUGCAUAAAUACACAGGUGGUUUUGGUACACGAACAAGUUUAGAAACGGGAAACCCUGUGUUUCCACAGCAGAAAAUGCGUCUGGGUAUAUACUUUGUCGAAAUAUACCAAAGGGAGCCGCUGUGCAGUGAAUGAUCAAAGGUGGGGUCACAUACCGCUGAUCUUUAAAGCAGAACCUGCGCCUACCUACUAUGUGAUGUUCUGAAGAAACAAUAAAAUAGCGUUUUGUAAAAAAGCAGAAGUUAUGAAUAUUUCAUCCUAUUUGAGCCUUUUUUUCUCCUCGUUUUGAAAAGCUACGGACACAGACCUUCAGUUGUAAGAAGUCCAGAGCAUAGUAUGGGAUACUAAUAUGACUAUGGGUUAGACCCGUGAACAACUGUCUCAAAAAUUACCCCUCAUUUCUAAGCCUCCUAACUUCAGUGCCAGCGUAGGUGCACACUCCAAUGCGUUGAUCAAAAAUGUGUCGAGCACCUGACGUGCUAUAGAGGCUAUUGGUAGAACUCACUUUGCCUAGCACGGGACUGCCUUUUCACUGUUUAGGGGCAAAGCGGGAGGAAAAUGUCCUAUUGCUGUAUGAGGCAUGAGGCUUUCCAACGUGUCUUGCUGAAAUGUGCGAGUUUAGAAGUUGCACAGCAGUGUCUCCGUGACUGAUACGAAUGUCUGCUCUGAACCCUCAGUGUAGUUAAACAGCUGCUGAACGUUUAUCAAUGUUACCUACGUUGACAGCGUGGAAAACACCGAUACAGCAAGCAAUGAUAUUUUGUAUCAGAGCAUUUCACUUGAAAAUAAACAAAUCAAUGGCUGUGA